GAGCUGAAGGAGUGUGGAUGGUGUGUGGCUGGCUGAGGGAGCUGCAGGACCUUGGAUGAGGUAAUCCUGCCAGAAGUUGGGGAGAGUGACAAGGAGCCCUGAGCUGGUUGCGGGGACUCCAUCAGGACAAGACCCUGAGAAUUGUGGGGAACAAGAGGACAGUGGACUUGUCAGAUGUCCCUUGCCCAUGACAGCAAGAUGGGAGAGCAGGCUGCCCGGCUGCCCCCGGAGGACUUUAGAGUCUAGAAGAAAAGAUUGCAGUCGAUCAGGCUGUCCCCCGCAAAGCAUCCCACAGAUUUAUUGAGACACUGAAAGCUCCAACUCAGCACAUAGAUGCAGGACUGAAUUUGAUGCUAACCCCCCCCAGUUCAGAUCAACAACAUAACAACAUACAAGACAAAUGAACGCUGAGAUA